AAGAGGAGAAAAAUUCAGAAAAAUCAAAACAGCUAAAAUUUCAUAAAAAAUCACUGUUCCAUUGAAAUUCUUCUGUGAUUUCUGAGGUUCUCAAUUUUUGAAACAAUUUCUGACUCAUCUGGGGUAAAAAUGGACUGAAUUUGGGUUUUAAAAGUCUGGUUUGAAGUUCACUGUGGUUAUUGCUCGAUUGAAACUGGAUUUUGGACUGUUGUACAUCAUUUUUCUGUUUGAAAAUUGGUUAUGCUGUUGUUGCUUCUUCUGGAUUUCUCACCCAUUUUUCCUUGUUUGAUUGCUGCAAUCAGGUACAUAUUCUUGGACUAUACUAGAUGCCAAGCAAGUUUGAAGUAUGAAAUUAAAAUGGAUGUUCAAAGCAUGACAUCAAAUUUUCUUUUUAUAAUCUAGUUGUCUUUCUUUGAAUUGCAUAGUGUUACUUCCAGAUUCAUAGUAUUUCUUAAUCGUUCCGUAGUUUAAUCUUUGAAUUCCUGCCAUUGUAUUUAACCUUGGGCCGUUGAGAUAUGGAUUUGACUUAGUUGAACAAUACGUGAGUUGUAUGGUAGCAUUUGAUUCCAGGUUAAUUUUAUGGUCAUUUUUUAUAUUCUAGGUUUAAAUGGCUUCAAAGUCUAUUGUUUGGCUUGUGAGCAACAGGGGUGAAAGCAUUAAGUAUCUGAUGCUGGGAGUUCUGUGAAAAACUUUAAAGCUCAAUGCAAUUGCUUGAGAGCUAUUUCUGGAUUGUAUUUACCCCUGUUAAAGUCAGUACUUGAAUUCUGCCUCCCUGUCAUCAGUAUUUGAAUGCAUGAAUGAUAUUUGCUUUAGACUUGUGAUUUAACUUUGUGAUAUCGGGAGCCUAUUUCCCCAGUGAGUAUAUUGUUUACUUUCAGCUUGGGACUGUUAAAUUCAUUUGGGAAAUCAGAAUCGCUUGAGCAUGAGUGUAGGGUUGUUUGUAAAUGGGAGUUAUUUUAUCAUAUAUUGCAUGAGCUUAAUAUUGUUAGUCUAGUUACUGAACUUUUCUUUUAGUGACAGGCUCUUCUUUUGAUUUGGGCUUUAUGUUGAGCCCAGUUGUAUUCUCAUGUCAUGUUGAAACUAUUGGCAAUUGGUUGUAGGCACAUAGCUAGCCUAAAUUCUUUUAACAAUCAAACGUGGGUUCCGC
rnacentral:lncRNA from 1 species